rnacentral:misc_RNA from 1 species
UUUCCGUAGGUGAACCUGCGGAAGGAUCAUUACCGAGUACCCGCGUUUUUAACGCGGACUCCCACCCUUGCGUACCGACCUGUUGCUUCGGCGGGACGCGGUUGUUGGAGAGGUUUGUGAAUCUUCACGCCUUUUCAACAGACGCGAUCGCUCACUUCGCUUACUCUUCGGAGUGAGGAAAGGGGCGAGUCUGCCCGCCGAGGAUUCAAACUCUUGAUACAUUUUUGCAGUCUGAGAAAAAAACGAAUCAAUCAAAACUUUCAACAACGGAUCUCUUGGUUCUGGCAUCGAUGAAGAACAGC